UUUGGGUAUGAUAGUGCCCUCUAUAUUAAGUGUGGGUGUGUGAGGUCCUCUAGUAAUAAUGUACCAUAAUUCAUAGUCUAAAGCUUGAAUGAAUAUCCUCAUCCUAGCUUUUCAGUAUGUGUAGUUUGUGCCAUUAAAUAGAGGAGGUCUAUUUGUGGAUUGUCCCUCACUCAUAGAACAUUCCACUUGGGUUCUCAUG
rnacentral:lncRNA from 1 species